rnacentral:rRNA from 1 species
GACGAACGCUGGCGGCGUGCCUAAUACAUGCAAGUCGAACGCAGUGGGGACGGGUGAGUAACACGUGGGUAACCUCCCAUCAGAGGGGAUAACACUUGGAAACAGGUGCUAAACCGAUACUGAUGGAUGAACCCGCGGUGCAUUAGCUAGUUGGUGGGGUAACGGCUCACCAAGGCGACGAUCGCUAGCUGGGCUGAGAGGAUGAUCAGCCACACUGGGACUGAGACACGGCCCAGACUCCUACGGGAGGAAGCAGUAGGGAAUAUUCGGCAAUGGACGAAAGUCUGACCGAGCAACGCCGCGUGGGUGAAGAAGGUUUUCGGAUCGUAAAACACUGUUGUUAGGGAAGCGGUAUCUAACCAGAAAGCCACGGCUAACUACGUGCCAGCAGCCGCGGUAAUAC